AGCCCAAUUGCUAACUACAAGUAGGGUAGUCUGUCCUCAGAGUGCUUGUAAAUGCAUGGCAGGACUGCUACUGGGCCACCUGGGUCCCUGUCAAUGACUUGUGCUUCAGCCUUGGAGGCAGCAGCACCCCGCUUUCAGCAGAGGAUGUCUGUGGGGCUCCAGGUAUGCGGAGUUGCAGGGGUUGCUGGGCCUCAGGGCAGGAUGUAGUCUGCUGGGGACUGGGCUCUCAAAAUGGCGUCUUGCUGUGGCUGCUUAGGGCUCAGGGGAUGUGUGGGACCUAGCGUGAGUUUCCCCCUGGAGCAAUGCCAUCUGUGAUCUCCAGGACGCUCCCUAUGUUAGUCACAGGGCUUGUGUGGGUCGAGGGGCUCUCGUAGGGCUGGGAUUGCAGUAGUCCAUGAUGGGAAUGCAGACCGCUGUGGGUAAGUCAUUUACUCUUUCCUCACACUGGGGAGCCUCUCCAGGCUCCCAGCCAGUCCUGGCAGACUGUCUCUCUUACCGCUUGCGCUCCUUCCUCACCUCAGGUGUUUUCUGUCACUUCUCCGUUAAAUCCAGUGUUCUCUUUUUGGUGGUGUAUUAAACGUGUGAUUAUGCGCUGUUUCACUUCUUGAUGGAGGAGGCAAGGACCAGAUGCCUCUAGUUAGCCAUCUUGGAGCCCCUCCAAGGCCCUACUUGUCAAUAUCAUUACAACAGGGAAUACGUUUUAAUCUAAACUGUGGAGGAAGUGCAUUCAAACCAUAACAUUGUACUUUACAAAAUGAAUAAAUUAAUUUGUGGGAAAAUGGCCUUUUAUCAGAGUUUGAGAUGCGUCCUCUAGAGGAGUCUAGCACCGCUGGGAAAUCAGUCCAGAGGCAUUUCGACAGUUGGGAUAUGAAAAAAAGGAAAAUUUCCUAAAGAAGAUGUCGAUUUCCAAUGCAUUUAAAAACAACCACAAGAAGAAGCCACUGAUUAACAAAGUUAUCUAACAAUGGCAGUGAGGGAGAGCAACACCUUGACAGCGUUUUCAUGGUGUCUCAGAAGGGGAAAGAUUACGGACAGAUGUUUAUAGGAUUUGUGGUCUUGCAUCAAAUGCUUUGAGGCAGCUCUCUGAAGGCCAGGAUUUAUGGGGCUUAGACAAAAUUUAUUAUAUAGCAGUUUAGGAUUGAUGGAUACAGCCAAGGUGAGUGUCUUGAAGCUACCUGAUUCAGUAAACAGUGGUUGCUUAAGCAAGCUGUUUCCCCAGGUGAGCAACCUGUUGUCUGAAUAAAUUGGUUUUCAGGAAUUUCCGGAAGGAAACAGCAAUUUAUUGUUAGACAGAAUUAUUUUCCUGGGCUAGAAUUUCCUGGAACAAAUAGUCAAUUCUUGUUGACGUUUAAGUGGUCUCAGUUUUCAGUAUCGAUGAGUUAACCCACAGGAGGAAGCGGGAGACUCAUUUCUCGGUUCUCUGUGUGAUCAUUCUUCAGCUGUGAUGGAGGAUAGCCAUUACCAUGUGGGGACUUGAUCCAUCUGAAUCUGCACUGUACUUUGUGGUGUGAUCAUGAAUCAGGUUUCCUGGUAGGCAAUUUUCCUGCUUUUUGUCGGAUAGACAUUUGGUUGGAUGAUUUGACAGUGCUAUGGCUGCGCAGCAGCAUUUUUAAGACUGAGUUCAUGCAUUUGAGCGCUGUAACACAGAGUGAUGCUACAGUGAGGAGUCAUGGUGAGACUUCUAUGCCAGGAGCCAAGAGUGUCCAGAUUAAAACAAGAGAACAGAUCCCAUCCCUAAUUUGAAGAGCCAGAGUAGCCAUACUCAGCGGAGGGGGAUUAAUAUCCAAAUUGCCUAAUUUUAGGGUCUCUUUGUUUGCUGCACAAUCUUACAAGAUUAAGCCAGGGUCAGCAAGCAAUUGCCAGCAGGCCAAAUCUGCUCUCUUACCAUCUGUUUUGUAAAUAAAGUUUUAUUGGAACAUAUGGCUAUGCUCUGCUGACCCUAAUGAUAUUUCUAAUUUUUUUUAAGGUGUAAGCUGAAGUUAUUAAUUUGAGACCUUAUUUCCAUUUUUUUGUUUUUGUUUUUGUUUUUGUCUUUUUUAAGACGGAGUCUCACUUUGUCACCCAGGCUGGAGUGCAAUGGCACAAUCUCGGCUCACUGCAACCUGCACCUCCUGUGUUCAAGUGAUUCUCCUGUCUCAGCCUCCCGAGUAGCUGGGAUUAUAGGUGUGCACCACCACGCCGGGCUAAUUUUUGUGUUUUUAGUAGAGACAGGCUUUCACCAUGUUGGCCAGGCUGGUCUUGAACUCCUGACCUCAAGUGAUUCACCUCCCACUCGGCCUUCCAAAGUGCUGGGAUUACAGGCAUGAACCACCACACCUGGUCAAGACCUUGUAUCCUAAUAUUAGACUUUCUCUAUUUUUAAGCAAUUUGUUGACCUUCUUGAAUCUGUGGUUUUCAUAAACUUUGGGAGAUUUUUGGCCAUUAUUUUUUCAAAUAUUUUUUUCCAACAUAUCCCUCAUUUCCUUCAGGGACUGCAAUUUACGCAUUAGUUUGAAGUUGUCCCAUAACUCACUGACACACUUCUGUUUCUCAUUUUGUGUACUUUUUAUCUCUCAAUUCUUAAAGUCACUAGUCUUCUGAAAUUUCCAAUUUGCCUUUAAUUCUACUCAGUGUGUUUUUCAUCUCACAUAAUGUUUUCAUCUCUAAAGUUUGAUUUUUAGUCUUUUUAUAUCUUCCAUGUUUCUGCUUACCAUGUUCAGUCUUUCCUCUGGCUUCUUGAACAUGCGAAGUACAAUUACAGUUCUUCUAAUGUCUUUGCCGAUUCUAUCAUCUUUGUCAUUUCUGGGUUAGUUUCAAAUGACUGAUUUUUCUCUUCAUUAUGGGUCAUAUUUUUGUGGACAGUUUUUGGAUCCUUUUGUAUUUCUAUAAAUACUUUUGAACUUUGUUCUAGAACACACUUAAAAUUACUUGCAAAUAGUUUGACCCUUUAUCUUAAUUUUGUGCUUUGUUAGAUGGUAUUUCUAUAAAUAUUCUUGAACUUUAUUUUGAAACUCAGUUACUUAUAAACAGUUUGAUUCUUUUGGGUCUUAUUUUGAGUUUCAUUAUGUGGUAUCAGAGUAGUAUUUAGUCUAAGUUCUAUGUUACUGCAUGACUGAAGCAAAAAUUCUUCCAAGUAUGCUACUCAAUGCCCAUUUCCUAUAGAAACAGGAAUGAUUCUGAGCCCUGGAUUCUAUACCCCGUAAUCAUUCCAGCUGAUUCUUUCCCCAGUCAUGGGUAGUUUCCUCACAUGCAUAUGCUGACUCAUGCUCAGCUGAAGACCCUGUACAGAUCCCCAGUGUUCUCUCUGCACAGCUGUCUCCUUUCCCAUAUCUUUCCUUGCAAACUCUACUCACUUUGCCCUCCCCAGACUCCACUUAGGGAGAUGGCAGGGUUCCAUCUGGGUUUUCCCUUUCUGUACCACAGUCUUGAUACUCACUCCAGACAGUAAGCUGUGGCGAACAUAAGAUUCAUCUUGUUUCUUGUUUCUCUUGGAUCACUAUUCUUCAUUGCCUGAUGUCUUGAAAAAUCUUUUUAUUUUUCAAUAUUGUGUCUGUUUUUUUUUCCACUGGUUUACUGGAGAGUAAAUCUGGUCCCUGUUUCUUCAUUUUGGCCAGAAGCAGAAAUCUAUUCAUAGUAUUUUUUCAAAAAGCUUCUCUGGUGGUUUUUAUUCACACCCUCAAUAUACAACUGCUGCUAUAAAUUUUCUGUAAGAUAUUAGUAAGUGACCCAGAGCAAAGUUUAUUCUAUAAGAAUGCCAGUUUGAUGAGACCCGCUGAUAUUAUUGUAUCUUUGAGCCAGUUUGAGGACAAAAUUGCCAGGUCUACGGCUGUCUUCUUCCCUGUGAGCUUCUUCUCAUAGACUCACAACAAAUAGGAUAAAAGACAAAAAGAGUAAUGUUACUAGUAAUAAAACAUUUCCACAAAGAAUAAACAUUUUCAAAUCUGAUCAGAUAAUCCAGGAAUUUCUUAAAAGUUUCUUAUUUCUAGGAAGAAAAAUAAACAAUUUAAGAGCUUUAUGGAAAGGACACCGGGACUCAAAUCCAAUGAGAGACUUACCUUAACACUGCAGUGGGGGAGGCUUCCAAAUGGCAAACUUCAGAAGAACACACUGUUUAGGGCUAAGGUUCUUAAACUGCAGGAGCAGAAAUUAUUGAGUGAAUCCUACUGAGGCCCCAGAACUGUUGAUUGCUGACUUUCAAAGAAGACCAUCAGAAUAAACUAUUGAUCAAACAAAGCUAAGUUUAUUAACCUGCAGUAAGAGAGUGCAACACCUUGAAAAAGUCCUUAUAAUUCUCAAAAGGGAGAGGUCACAGGUAGAUAUUUAUAAACAUUAAGGGUCUGAGCUCAAGUGGUUUAAAGUCAGGCCUUUCAAGGAAGAAAUCUGGUGGAAAUUCGGCAAAGUUCAUGAUAUUAUAGUUUAGAAUUGGUGGACAUUGUGAUAAGAGGGUCUUGAAGUCCUGAAAAAUAGAUCUUUGAUAAACAAGUUAUUAGACUUGGAGAGGAAUCUGUUGUCCUGAAAAGGGGUUUAUUUUUUCAAAUGAGCAAUCUAUCAUCUGAAUAAAUUGGUUUUCAGAAAUUUUCUGAAGUAAACAUUGAUGUUAUUUAUUGUACACCGUCUUAUCUUCCUGGACAAGAAUUUUCUUGAACAAAUAGUAAAGUCAUAGUGACACAGAUGGUUUGUUUUCCAUACUGAUAGUUAAGCUAUGAGGAUGCAGGUGGUCUCAGUUAGAGAUAAGAAUGGACCUAUUGAAGAGGAAAGCCUACAGAACUGGGUAUGAUUAGACUUCAUAGGGUCUGGUUAUGAUCUGACCAACAAACUAGCUGGAAGAUUUGAACAAAUGACAUCACCUUUCUGAGCCUCACUGGACUUAACAGCUGGACUGACACUACCUGGGACACCACCACACAGAGCCCAGAGUGAACAGAGUGCAGCUCUUCACCCAGAGCUAUGCCCCUCUACCCUUUGUAUAAUUCCUGGUUCAUGGGACGGUAACAGAUUUGAGGUCUGUCAUACCUGGGCAUCAGAAUGAAAAGUUGCCUCCUGGUAGGUGAGUUGCCUCUAUUGAAUGUUGCUGCAGUCUGAAUGUUUGUGUCUACCCAAAAUUCAUAUUUUGAAAUCCUAAACCCUAAGGUGAUGGGGCUUUUUGAUAGGUGAUUAGGUCAUGAGGGUUGAGUCCUCAUGAUCGGGAUUAGUGUCCUUAUAAAUCAGGCACAGAAAGUGACCUUGCUGCUUUCACUGUGUAGGGAUGGGACCACACCAGACAGUGAAUCUGCUGGCAGCAUGAUCUCGGACUUCUCAGCCUCCAGAACUGUGAGAAAUAAAUGUUCGUUGUUUAUAAACCACCCAGUUUAUGGUAUUUUUGUUAAAGCAGCCUAAAUGAACUAAGACAAAUGUUUAUAUAACUUGGGUUUUCCAAGGCCUCACCACAUUGUAAGUAGAAAUAGGGUUACGUUAACAGUAACAACUAAACUUUAGUGGUUCUUGCCACUAGCAAGGCAAGCAAGACCCUACUACCUGGGGAGAAGGGAGUCUCGCAAGGGCUCCUUGCAUAUGUGCACAUACACAAGUCAAGGCCACUGCUGCUUCUGCUACCCCUUCUCAGUGCUAUUGCUCCUAUCCAGCGUCUGCUGGGAACCCCUCUCCCAGAAGGUCUAAGAGGAACUGCCUGGUGUCCCAGGUAUCUCCUGAGAAAGGGACCACUGUUGUGCUGGCUCCCUCAGGGAGCUAGAGCUGCCCAGAGGUCUCUGGGGACAGGGAAAUUGGCUCUCCCCAUUUUGUGUUAUAAUCAGUUGAAUGAUCCCUAUGGUAUCCUUGAAUUCCUUUGUGUUAUAGAGUUUAGUAAAACAACACUUUCAAUUGAUCCUCCCAGUUAGAGGUAUAUUGAAUACACAUUUUGGCCAUAUAUGGAAAGGCGUAGUUUGGCAUAAGCUGAGGCUAAAGAUAAAUAUCAGCAUCAUAGAGUACACUUAUGGAAUGUGAAUACAUCUGAAAUUUUAUUUUAAAAUUGAUGAUUAUACUAUACAAUUCCAUUUAUAUAAACUUCUCAAAAGAUGAAACAAUUGGGAUGGAGAACUAGUAGCUGUUCCUAGUGUCAUGGAGUAGGGUAUUAUGAGGAAGCUUUUUAGGUGGUGAAACUGAUCCAGAUGGUGAUCCUACUGGUGGUUACAUGAACAAUGUUUGUGUUAAAAUUUACAGAACUGUAACUGUCUAAUGGGUUCUUCUUGCCUGCUGCUCAGAUAAAGCUGAUUUAUCAAGAUAGGGCAAUUGCAGUAGAGAAAGAGUUUAAUACAAAUAGAGCCAGCUAAACAGGAGACCAGAGUUUUAUUAUUACCCAAAUCAGCCUCCCUGAAAAUUUGGAGGCUAGAGUUUUUCAAGAGUAAUUUGGUGGGCAAAGGAAUGGGUGCUGCUGAUUGGUUGGGGAUGCAAUCAUAUGGGUGUGGAAAAUGGUCCUCGUGUGCCCUGAGUCAGCUUCCAGUAAGGGUCCACAGAGGAGUCACUGGUUCAGGACACUGGGUCAUCAGAAAUGCAAAAGCCUGACAAGACAUCUCAAAAGGUCAACUUUAGGUUCUACAAUAGUAAUUUUAGGUUCUACAAUAGUAACGUUAUUUACAGGAGUAAUUGAGGAAGUUGAAAAUCUUGUGACCUCUGGAAUAAUGGCUGGUAAUCACUUAACUAUGCCUAUAUCUUAGCAGAAUUCAGGCCCUCCUAUCUUCGUAAACUGGUGGCCUUUCAUUAGUUUUACAAAGGCAGUUUAGUUUUGGAAAGAGCUAUUAUCAUUUAAACUAUAACCUAAAUUUCUCCCAAAGUUAGCUUAGGCCAUGCCCAGGAAUGAAGGGCAGUUUGGAGGUUAAAGGCAAUGUGGAGUUGGUUAGGUCAAAUUUCUUUCACUGUCAAAGUUUUCUCAGUGUUGCAAUUUUUGCAAAGGUGGUUUCAGAACUGUACAUCAAAAGGAAAAAAAAUCAAUUUUACUGUAUGAUAAUUUUAACAAUAAUAUAAAUUAAUGAUUAGUGCAGGUUUUUUUUUUAAGUUGUAUAAAAUUUUUAUAGUUUGACAUGAUAGUGACUCAGAAUUUUCAGCUGCCAGAUUCCUUUUGUGGUCACCAUCGCAUGUUUCUGAUACAGAUUGAAUAUCCCUUGUCCUAAAUGCUUGGAACUGGAAGUGUUUUGGAUUUCAUUUUUUUGAAAUAUUUUGGGAUAUACACAAUGAGAUAUCUCACUGAUGAGAACUGUCUAAACACAGAAUUCUUUUCUAUUUCAUAUACACCUUUUACACUGACAACUGAAAUGAGUAAUUGAAGCAUAAGUUUCAAAGCAUCAAGCUUUGUUGAGCCAGCUUGAAGGCAUACCUGGGAAAAUAGAGAGUCACAGAAGCAUGUGUGACUGUUUUUUCCAAAGAGGUUCUUAGGAGGUUUAGUAUUUAUAUAUUUUCCUUAAAAGGCAGGGGAGGUGGUGGGGCAGCAGUGAGACAAAUGAUUACAUACUUGUAAAACUUUAGUUAGUGCCUGGUAAAUCUACAUCUUACAUAAAAUAAGGUGAACAUAAUGAAUCUCAUCUGGACUGUUACGUAUCUGGGAAGAUAAGCUAGUAGUCUUUUGGAAAGGCUGGUUUCUGUUUAGCUGUUAAGGAAGAAAACCUAACGACUGUUAGCGAGGGUGGGGAUAUAAUGAGGCAUAUGCCAAAUCUCCCAUCCCAUCAUAGCCAUGAAUUCAGCUUCCAAGGUUUUGCUGGGGUUCCCUUGGCCAAGAGAGAAUCCGCUGGGUCAGUCGGAGGGACUUAGAGUUUUAUUUUUAUUUCCUAACAAAUAGCCUGAAGAUAAUUUUAUACAUAUUUUAAAAUAGUUUUGUUCAUGAAGCAAAGUUUUGAUUGGUACCCAUCACAUGAGAUCAGGUGUAAAAUUUUCUACUUGUGGCAUCAUGUUGGCAUUGAAAAAGUUUCAGAUUUUGGAGCAUUUCAGAUUUCAGAUUUUCAGAUUAGGGAUGUUCAACCUGUACUAAGGAGUUACUGGCUUUCGAAUGGCAUGUUUAAUAAUUUCACCUUCUGGGGAAUAACACAGCCAAAUACAAAUCAGGAAAAUGUCUUUCAGUAAUUUGUUUUCUAGAAGAAACUUUGCAUGCAUUUACAUAGCUUAGAUAAAUGAGAAACUCCGAAGCUUCAACUAUUGAAAAUAUUUGCUAGCUUGUAAAAAUCAAUUUAAUAUUAGAAUAGUCUCUAUAAAUUCAAAAUAAGAAAUUGUCUUCUGUGUUCUGAAGUUUGAUUUGUGAAUAAAAUGCAUGUCAGAACUCAGCUAAAAUACAUUCAUUUUUUUCUAUCAAAUUUUACUUAUCUUUUUGGUGUAUAUGAUUUCAGAUACAUUUCUCUCCAUGAAAUUUUGAAAUGUCAGAUGGCAUUCUGCUUUUAAUUCAGCCUCAUAUAAUGCAAAAAAUAAGACUUAUGACUUACUGGAAUUAAAUAAUUAAAAAUAUCAUUCUUUAAGCUUACUUUUUGAGUAUUGUGAAUGCAAUUAUACCAAAACAAUUCUACAAAGAUUCUAAUUAUGAAGUAAUCUAAUAUCAUCAUAGUAAUUAAAUCUAUAUAAGCUUUUGUUGACUCAAUACAAUUAUAUUAUUUUCUACAUUAGUUAUCUAGCUAAUCCUCUUAAUAUUCCUACUGCCAAUCAAGCUCCCAAAUUUAAUUACUUAAACAUUUUAUUAAUAGCUUUUUUUUUUAACAUAAAUUAACAGCUCUCAUAAACAUUAUUUGUUGGAAUAUCUUAUUUUGGGGAUAAGCCGUAUACAUUUCUUCCUCAGCUGACUGGUAGAAUUUCAACAUAUAAAGCACCUAAGAAGAUUUCACUCCAAGUUAGAAUGCUUACAUAUGUUUGAAAGGCAAUGUAGAGAUAUUAACAAUAUCUUUAAUGGCAUGCCUUCUUUAAGUAGCUGUUGUUGUUACACUGAUUAGAUAUGUAAUCAUAUGAUCACAGGGAUGCCAGAAAGAAUGAUGAAGUGGGCUCUCUGAAGGCUGAAGCAGAAAGACUGAUUAUUGCCAAAUGCUGAACCAAAACCAAGUCUGUGCAGUCCUACUUACAAGCUUUUCUAUCAACAACAUGGGCACCUACUUCCUGUUGACAAAGUCUGAAAAAGAAAAAACAAAACAAAAUACACCCACACAGUCAUGAAUCAAUUGAGCUGGGUAGAGCCGUGUCUAAAAAACAGAAGAUACCAUGCUGUAUUGAGAAGUACUUCUCCUUCUGACUCUGGCUUAAUUACUGAAUCCUGCCAGGUUCUCUUUUUCUUUUUCUCUUUUCUUUCUUUCUUUUUUUUUUUUUUUUUUUUUAGACUGAGUUUUGCUCUUGUUGCCCAGGCUGGACUGCAAUGGCGCGAUCUUGGCUCACAGCAACCUCCGCCUCAGCCUCCCGAGUAGAUGGGAUUACAGGCGCCUGCCACUAUGCCUGGCUAAUUUUUGUAUUUUUUUUUUUUUUUUUUUUUUUUUUUUAAGAGACAGAGUUUUACCAUGUUGGCCAAGCUGGUCCUGAACUCCUGACCUCAGGUAAUCCACUGGCCUCGGCCUCCCAAAGUGCUGGGAUUACAGGUAUGAGCCUCCGCACCCAGCCAUGGUUCCGUCUUUUUCUAAGUCCUCAUGACUUGAUUGUGCACAGGCCCACCGUUCCAACCUUCCAUGCUAUCAUAUAUUCCUGAGUGUAUCUAAGUUCCUGUUAGCCUUCUGCUACAUGUAUAUACAUAUACAUAUUAUUUUUUAGUACCUGCUAAAUAACAGGCACUAUGUAUGCUAAAAAAGAGAGUGUAUAUCUAUCUAUAUUCAUAUGUGUGUAUAUAUUUCUAAUAAAUUUCUAAUAUAAUUUUAUGAGGGACUUCCACUUAAACAUGGGGAUUGAAUGUACAUAUUUUUCUAUUUCUCCACAAAAACGACAGCAAAAGAAUUUUUUAAAAUGGCAUAAGCUUGCAAGGACAAAGGCAAUGGAAAAGAAGCUGACACACAACAUUUCAGAAACUGGAAGCAGCCAGGUAGGUCAUAAUUGACUUGGGAACAGAGUGAGCAGAAACCUAAGGCAAGUAAGGGAAAUGCAUCAGUAAGCUAAUUUACUCCAUAGAAUUCCAGGAAGACUUGGAAAAUUGAGGAUCCAGGGACUUAUGGAAGUGGGGACACUGGUGGGUUUCAAAAACAGGAGGGUCAGUUGAAAAUUUAUAAAUAAAGCAGUUAAAAUAUUUUCACCCACCUCAUGUCAUUGGAUGACUACCUUUCACUCACGCCGGUUCUAAACAUACACCCUCUGGAGAGGCUGAUUCCAAAGGGAUUCAGGACUCAGAUGUGGCAACCAUUGCUGAGAAAAAGGCUACAAUAUUAGAACCAGACUACCAUAUUAGAACCAAGUACAUAUUCUGCAUUGAGAAACCCCAGCUCCUUCUCAUACUCAGCUGGUAGAAUUAUGGCACCAAAGAGAUUGGAGUAAGAUCACCAGGAAAACCAACAAUCCAAGAAAAAAAAUCUAAAAACGGCAACAGGUUUUUGGAUGUCCUUCAGUGAAAUGUCCAAGCAAGAAUAUCCCCAUGAAGCUUUCCAGUCAACAAACCUUGUACACACACAGGAUUUUCACUUGGCUUUCUAAUGUCUAACUCUUCAAUACGAACUGACUGCCAAGGAUUAUCAGACAAUGUGAGGAAAACCUCUCGCAUAAAAGACCAAAAAACAGAAAAGAAACUAAGAUGACACAAGAACUGUGAGGUGAGCAACAGAAAGUCUAAAGCAAAUUCUAAUAAAUACCAGAAGGUAACACAUCCAUGAAAUGGAUGGAAAUGAGCCAUGUAAGAAUUUGACUUGUAAACAAUGUAACUAUAUUACUCCUACAAAUUUAUUUCUUUAAUUUAAAAAACGAAUUAGUAAAUAAAACAGCCAUGUGUAAUGACUCUUACAAGAAAGAAAAUUGGAGCUCAGAUUAAAGAAUAUGCCCAGAGUGACACAUUUGAAGCUGGGUGUGUCUCAUUGCAGGUCCAGACAUUUCCAGAUUUCUCCUGGAGUCCAAGGGGCAUGUCAGUGGACCCCGGAUGUUUCAAGCAGUAUCUUGGAUUGCUCUUGGGAAAAAUCUCUCUACAUUCUUCACCCUUAGGUUACUGUCACCCUUCAUUACUACUACAAAUCUUCCUCAAGACAAGUUUCAGGCUGGGGAUAUACAUUGAAGAACUUCAACUCUUUCUUAAGUUCUUAAGUGAGAGAGCAAUCUCAUCAGCAUAUUUUUUGAAAGCCACUGCUCAGAUCAAAAGCAGGCCUGGGAAUGAUUCAGGAAGAAACACUUGGCUCUUGUACCAUGAGACCUGAACCUGGAAUUUCUCUUGAGGUCUUCCUUGAUGGACGGAACGCUUUUAUUCUUCUUAUUCAAGAAAACGAGUUCACAUAGGUCAUGGUACUAGUAACCUUAGCAUAACAAGAAGGAAGGAUGGAAUUAUAAAAUGCUCUUGGGUAUGUUUUUUCUUCUCCUUCAUCCUGAAUAACCCUAGGGCUAUGUGGGGAGAGAGGAGACUACAUUCUCAACAGUGAGACCUAGUUCCUGUCAAGGUAAGUUUGUGUUUUGAAACUAGCUGCUUGUUAGCAUAUGCGUAAAUUAUAGAAAAAAGGAAAAUGUUCACAGGAGUCAAACUUGUUCUCCUCUUCCUCUUCUUCGUAAGUUCUAGAGCUGACAAACACUGGGGUAUACUGCAAUAAACCAUGUUCCAAUUCCUAUAAAAAAUACUAAUUAUUGUCAGAAUUAUUUCAUGAAUCCUGAACACAUUUGAUGCUCAUUGACUUCAAGAAAAGGGACGAGACUGGCUGCUACAAGAAGGCAUCUACAAAACAUUUGAGAAUGCCAGGAGUGCAAAGAAUGAAUUGCUAGGAUUUUCUGUGUUCACCCCUAUUCAACUAGCCUUAAACAUGGGAAUAAAAAUGUUUUAAGUACACGUACAUGAACAUGUAUAUAUGUGUAUGCAUAUCAGAGGCUUGGUCAAAACUCAGCCAACAUAGGCUAGAAACUGCUUUGCCACUCUUGGAAGCCACAGAUUUGCUGUUUUAACUUCUCUGCACUUAUAUUUCUAACUUGUAAAAUAAAAAUAGAUCACCUAAGAGAGAAGGCUGGAAUUCAACACGGAAGUGACACCUAGCAUGAAAAACAAGAGGAAAGUGAAGUAGCCUGCUCAGCUGGGAUUAGCAGGGAGUCUGGAGGGGCUCCCUAAUGUGAGGAAAGAGUAGGUGAGUAGCCCCCAGUGGCCCACCUUCCUACCAUGGACUCCUGCAAUCCUAGCCACUGGAGAGUCCUUUGACCCACACAAGCCCUGAGAAAAAAGGAAAAACGUUCACAGGAGUCAAACUUGUUCUCCUCUUCCUCUUCUUCGUAAGUUCUAGAGCUGACAAACACUGCGGUAUACUGCAAUAAACCAUGUUCCAAUUCCUAUAAAAAAUACUAAUUAUUGUCAGAAUUAUUUCAUGAAUCCUGAACACAUUUGAUGCUCAUUGACUUCAAGAAAAGGGACGAGACUGGCUGCUACAAGAAGGCAUCUACAAAACAUUUGAGAAUGCCAGGAGCGCAAAGAAUGAAUUGCUAGGACAUAGGGCACUGGCUGGAGACCCCAUGAUGGCAUUGCUUCAUAUGGGGAGCUCACACUGGGUCACCCCACCCACCCUCCCUCUUACCCCACUCUUAAGGCACUCCAGCAAGGUACCAUUUUGAAAGCCCAGCAGACUGCAUCCUACCCUGGGACCCCACAGACCUUGCAACUCCAGAUUCCUUGAGCCCCAUUGACCUCCCCCUAACGCAGACCCUGCUGCUGCUGGCUGCUGCCUCCAUAUCCAAUGUGGGGGCCACUGGAAGCUACCCACCAUCCCCAUCAGCAGGGUACCGUACAUUUAGAAGCACCCUGAGAACAGGCUACCCCACCAGCAACUACCACCUGGGGCCAAAGUGUGUGCUCCCAGUGGCCCUCCUAAGGCUUCUGCCAAUGAAAGCAACCCCAGCAACAUGGCUAGGGUGUAGCUGCUGGUCCUCCCAUCCAAGCAUUCCACUGAGGGCCUGGAAAUCACCAUGCCCCUGCCUACCAUAGCUAGUGCCUAUAUAUACCAUCGGGGGGCCUGAGGCUCACCUCUGUCUCCCUUCUCCCUAGUGCCCAUGCAGGGGCCUGGGGAUUGCUCAGCCCCAUCUAUUCCUGUUGGCGCCUGAGCACUCAUCCUGAAGGCCUGGAGAUGGGUUCACCCAACCUGCCACUACCAUCACAGCCAGCAUACACCCCCCACCCACAGACAUGAACCACCUGUGGGCCUGGGAAAUGGCCUGCAGCCACCUUGAAAAUCAGUUGGGACUACUUGGGUACCAGAGGAUUGUCCUGCCACUGCAACUGCCAUCACCCACACCAUGCCUGAUGCCCAGGGCCUAUGGACCUGCCCAUCCACCUGGCCCACAGCUGCCAUUGCCAGCACCUCAGCAAGCUGACUGGAAGCCCCCAGAUCAGCCCGCCUGGACACACUAACACUGAUGCCAGCAUAUACCACAUUUACCACCAACUGAUUUUCUAUAAAGGUGCCAAGUAUAUACACUGAGGAAAGGACACUUUCUUCACUAAAUGGAAUAGAAAAAACUGGAUAUCCAUAUGCAGAAGAAUGAAACUGGACCCAUCUCUCACCCUGUACAAAAAUCAACUCAAAUCAGUUAAGGACUUAAACAUAAGACCCAAAAUUAUGAACUACUACAAGAAAACAUAGGGAAAACAAUUCAGGACAUCAGUCUGACCAAAGAUUUUAUAGCUAAGAUCUCUAGAUCACAGGCACCAAAAAGAAAAAUAGACAAAUGGGACUAUAUUAAACUAAAAAUUCUUCUACACAAGAAACCAACAGACUGAAGAUACAGCUUGUUGAAUGGGAGAAAAUAUUUACAAGAUAUUUAUCCAACAAGGGACUAGUAUCCAGAAUAUACAAGGAACUCAAACAACUCAACAGUAAAAGACCACAAAUCAUCCUACUAAAAAGUGGGUAAAGGGCCAGGUGCAGUGGCUUACACCUGUAAUCCCAGCACUGUGGGAGGCUGAGGCAGGUGGAUCACUUGAAACCAGAAGUUUGAGACCAGCCUGGCCAACAUGGUGAAACCCCGUCUCUACUAAAAUACAAAAAUUAGCUGGGCAUGGUGGUGGGCGCCUGUAAUCCCAGCCACUGGGGAGGGGAGGCAGGAGAAUUGCUUGAGCCUAGGAGGCAGAAGUUGCUGUGAGCCACGAUUUCACCACUGCACUCCAGUUUGAGCAACAGAAUGAGACUCUGCCUAAGAAGAAAAAUGGGCAAAGGACAUGAAUAGAUAUUUCUCAAAAAAAGACAAAUGGGCAUAUUAAAAAAUGCUCAACAUCAGUAAUCAUCGGGAAACUGCAAAUUAAAAUCACAAUGAGAUAGCAUCAUACUCCAGUUAAAAUGACUAUUACUAAAAAGACAAAAGUCUGAUGCCUGUAGUCUCAGCUACGCAUGAGGCUGAGGCAGGAGUAUUGCUUAAGGCUAGGAGUUCAAGGCUGCAGUGCAUCCUGAUUGCACCUGUGAAUCACCACUGUUCUUCAGCCUGGGAAACAGGCAACAGAGCAAGACCCUGUCAAAGAAGGAGAAGGAGAAGAUGAAGACGAAAUAUAGAUGCUGGUGAGGAUGCAGAAAAAAGGGAAUUCUUGUUGGUGGGAGUUGGUGGGAAUGUAAACUAGUACAGCCAUUUUGGAAAACAGUAUGGAGAUUUCUCAAAAAACUAAAAACAGCUACCAUACAGUCCAGUAAUCUAACUAGUAUUUAUCCAAAGGAAAGGAAAUUAAUAUAUCAAAGGAAUACCUGCAGCCCAUGUUUAUUGCAGCACCAUUCACAAUUGCAAAGAUAAGGAAUCAACGUAAGUAUCCAUCAUGGAUGAAUGGUUAAAGAAUAUAUAUAUAUACACAAUGGAAUACUAUUCAGCCAUAAACAAGACUAACAUGAUGGCAUUUACAGCAACUUGGAUAGAACUGAAGGGUCAUUAUCUUAAGUGACAUAAGCCAGUCACAGAAAGAAGAAUAUCACAUGUUCUCACUCAUAUGUAAGAGCUAAAAAAGUGGAUCUUAUGGAAGUAGAGAAUAGAAUGAUAGACACCAGAGGAUUGGAAGGGUGUGUGGGUGGUGGGGGGUGAAUGAAGUAGAGGUUGGUUAAUGGGUACAAACACACAGAAGGAAAAAAUUCUAAUAUGCAAUAACAGAGUAGGGUGACUAUAGUAUAGUAUUAUAUGUUUCAAACUUACUAUAAAAGAGGACUUAAGAUGUUCUCAACAUAUAGGUAUAAUCAAUAAUGGAGGUGAUGAAUAGCCCAAAUAGCCUGACUUGAUCAUUACAUGUUCUGUGCAUGUAACAAAAUACUACAUGUAUCCCAUAAAUAUGUACAAAUAUGUCUCCAAAAAAUCAAAUUUUUGUACUGAGUAAUACAGGGAUGGUAAAUACAUUUUGAAAGGUAAUUUGGGCAAGUUAUUAAUACCUCAGCCUAGGAAUUUUGAAAAAUGUAUUCUAAAUACAUGAAAGAAUAGAGAAGUCUGGAAUAACUUAGAUUCGUAGUGUCAUACCAGAAAACUUGGGAACAUUCAAAGACAAAUGAAUGUAAUAAGAAUAAUAGAAUGAAAACAAACAGGUAUUAUUUUCAAUGUCUUUUAAAGUGGCCUUAAAAAAACCCAAAUGCCAUUGCUGGUGAGAGAAGUGAAGAGAGAAUGAAAAAAAAAAGAUAAUUCUUAGCAAGUAAAUUGAAGUUUUAAAUAAAUAACAAUGUAGAGCUGUUUGAGUUUUUAUUAUACUUUAAGUUCUGAGAUACAUGUGCAGAACGUGCAGGUUUGUUACAUAGGUAUACACAUGCCAUGGUGGUUUGCUACACACAUCAACCCAUCAUCUAUAUUAGGUAUUUCUCCUUAAUGCUAUCCCUCCCACAGCCCCCCACCCCUCGACAGUCCCCAGUGUGUGAUGUUCCCCUCCCUGUGUCCAUGUGUUCUCAUUGUUCAACUCCCACAUAUGAGUGAGAAUAUGCAGUGUUUGGUUUUCUGUUCUUGUGUUUGCUGAGAAUGAUGGUUUCCAGCUUCAUCCAUGUCCCUGCAAAGGACAUGAACUCAUCCUUUUUAUGGCUGCAUAGUAUUCCAUGGUGUAUAUGUGCCACAUUUUCUUUAUCCAGUCUAUCCUUGGUGGGCAUUUGUGUUGGUUCCAAGUCUUUGCUAUUGUGAACAGUGCUGCAAUAAACAUACGUGUGCAUGUGUCUUUAUAGUUGAAUGAUUUAUAAUCCUUUGGGUAUAUACCCAGUUAUGGGAUUGCUGGGUCAAAUGGUAUUUCUUGUUCUAGAUCCUUGAGGAAUUGCCACACUGUCUUGCACAAUGGUUUAACUAAUUUACACUCCCACCAACAGUGUAAAAGUGUUCCUGUUUCUCCACAUCCUCUCCAGCAUCUGUUGUUUCCUGACUUUUUAAUGAUCAUUAUUCUAACUGGCAUGAGAUGGUAUCUCGUUGUGGUUUUGAUUUGCAUUUCUCUAAUGACCAGUGAUGAAGAGCUUUUUUUCAUAUGUUUGUUGGCUCCAUAAAUGUCUUCUUUGAGAAGUGUCUGUUUUUAUCCUUCACCCACUUUUUGAUGAGGUUGUUUUUUACCUUGCAAACUUGUUUAAUUUCUUUGUAGAUUCUGGAUAGUAGCCCUUUGUCAGGUGAAUAGAUUGCAAAACUUUUCUCCCACUGUAGGUUGCCUGUUCACUCUGAUGAUAGUUUCUUUUGCUGUGCAGAAGCUCUUUAGUUUAAUUAGAUCCCAUUUGUAAAUUUUGGCUUUUGUUGCCAUUGCUUUUGGUGUUUUAGUCAUGAAAUCUUUGCCCAUGCCUAUGUCCUGAAUGGUAUUGCCUAGGUUUUCUUCUAGAGUUUUUAUGGUUUUAGGUCUUACAUUUAAGUCUUUAAUCCAUCCUGAGUUAAUUUUUGCAUAAGGUAUAAGGAAGGUGUCCAUUUUCAGUUUUCUGCAUAUGACUAGCCAGUUUUCCUAACACCAUUUAUUAAAUAGGGAAUCCUUUCCCCAUUGCUUGUUUUUCUCAGGUUUGUGAAAGAUCAGAUGGUUGUAGAUGGGUGGUGUGAUUUCUGAGGCCUCUGUUCUGUUCCAUUGGUCUAUAUCUCUGUUUUGGUACCAGUAUCAUGCUAUAUUUGUUACUGUAGCCUUGUAGUAUAGUUUGAAGUCAGGUAAUGUGAUGCCUCCAGCUUUAAUUUUUUUUGCUUAGGAUUUUCUUGGCUAUACAGACUCUUUUUUGGUUCCAUAUGAAGUUUAAAGUAGUUUUUUCUAAUUCUGUGAAGAAAGUCAACGGUAGCUUGAUGGGGAUAGCAUUGAAUCUAUAAAUAACUUUGGGCAGUAUGGCCAUUUUGCCAUUUUCAUGAUAUUGAUUCGUCCUAUCCAUGAGUAUGGAAUGCUUUUCCAUUUGUGUCCUCUCUUAUUUCCUUGAGCAGUGGUUUGUAGUUCUCCUUGAGGAGGUCCUUCACAUCCCUUGUAAGUUGUAUUCCUAGGUAUUUUAUUCUCUUCGUAGCAAUUAUGAAUGAGAGUUCACACAUGAUUUGGCUGUUUGUCUGUUACUGGUGUAUAGGGAUGUUUGUGAUUUUUGCACAUUGAUUUUGUAUCCUGAGACUUUGCUGAAGUUGCUUAUCAGCUUAAGGAGAUUUUGGGCUGAGAUGAUGAGUUUUCUAAAUAUACAAUCAUGUCAUCUGCAAACAGAGACAAUAUGACUUCCUCUCUUCCUAUCUGAAUACCCUUUAUUUCUUUCUCUUGCCUGAUUGCCCUGGCCAGAACUUCCAAUACUGUGUUGAAUAGGAAUAGAGAGAGAGGGUAUCCUUGUCUUGUUCUGGUUUUCAAAGGGAAAGCUUCCAGCUUUUGCCCAUUCAGUAUGACAUUGGCUGUGGGUUUGUCAUAAAUAGCUCUUAUUAUUUUGAGAUACCUUCCAUCAAUACCUAGUUUAUUGAGAGUUUUUAGCGUGAAGGGGUGUUGAAUUUUAUCGAAGGCUUUUUCUGCAUCUGUUGAGAUAAUCAUGCGGUUUUUGUCAUUGGUUCUGUUUAUAUGAUGGAUUAUGUUUAUUGAUUUGCAUAUGUUGAACUAGCCUUGCAUCCCAGAGAUGAAGCCUACUUGAUCAUGGUGGAUAAGGUUUUUGAUGUGCUGCUGGAUUUGGUUUGCCAGUAUUUUAUUGAGGAUUUUCGCAUCAAUGUUCACCAGGGAUAUUGGCCUGAAAUUUUCUUUUGUGUGUGUGUGUGUGUCUCUGCCAGGUUGUGGUAUCAGGAAGAUGCUGGCCUCAUAAAUUGAGUUAGGUAGGAGUCCCUCUUUUUCUAUUGUUUGGAAUAGUUUCAGAAGGAAUGGUACCAGCUCUUUGUACCUCAAGUAGAAUUCUGUUGUGAAUCUGUUUGGUCCUGGACUUUUUCUGGUUGGUAGGCUAUUAAUUGCUGUCUCAAUUUCAGAACUUGUUAUUGGUCUCUUCAGGGAUUCAACUUCUUCCUGAUUUAGAUUUGGGAGGGUGUAUGUAUGUGUCCAGGAAUUUAUCCAUUUCUUUUAGAUUUUCUAAUUUAUUUGCAGAGAGGUGUUUAUAGUAUUCUCUGAUGGUAGUUUAUAUUUCUGUGGGACCAGUGGUGAUAUCCCCUUUAUCAUUUUUUAUUGUGUCUAUUUGAUUCUUCUCUGUUUUCUUCUUUAUUAGUCUGGCUAGUGGUCUAUUUUGUUGAUCUUUUCAAAAAACCAGCUCGUGGGUUCAUUGAUUUUUUUUUUUUGAAGGAUUUUUCGUGUCUCCGUUUACUUCAGUUCUGCUCUGAUCUUAGUUAUUUCUUGUCUUCUGUUAGCUUUUGAAUGUGUUUGCUCUCGCUUCUCUAGUUCUUUUCAUUGUGAUGUUAGGGUGUCGAUUUUAGAUCUUUCCUGCUUUCUCUUGUGGCCAUUCAGUGCUAUAAAUUUCCCUUUAAACACUAUUUUGGGUAUGUACCAGAGAUUCUGGUAUGUUGUGCCUUUGUUCUCAUUGGUUUCAAAGAACUUAUUUUCUGCCUUAAUUUUAUUAUUUACCCAGUAGUCAUUCAGGAGUAGGUUGUUCAAUUUCCAUGUAGUUGUGCAGUUUUGGGUCAGUUUCUUAAUCCUGAGUUCUAAUUUGAUGCACUGUGGUUUGAGAUACUGUUUGUUAUGAUUUCCAUUCUUUUGCAUUUGCUGAGGAGUAUUUUACUUCCAAUUCUGUUGGUCAAUUUUAGAAUAAGUGUGAUGUGGUGCUGAGAAGAAUGUAUAUUCUAUGAAUUUGGGGUGGAGAGUUCUGUAGAUGUCUAUUAGGUCUGCUUGGUCCAGAACUGAGUUCAAGUCCUGAAUAUCCUUAUUAAUUUUCUGUCCCAUUGAUCUGUCUAAUAUUGACAGUGGGUCGUUAAAGUCUCCCACUAUUAUUGUAUGGGAGUUGAAGUCUCUUUGUGGGUCUCUAAUAACUUGCCUUUUGAAUCUGGGUGGUCCUGUAUUGGGUGCAUAUAUAUUUAGGAGAGUUAGCAUAGUUAGCUCUUUUUGUUGCAUCAAUCCCUUUACCAUUAUGUAAAGCCCUUCUUUGUCUUUUUUGAUCUUUGUUGGUUUAAAGUCUGUUUUAUCAGAUAUUAGGAUUGCAACCCCUGCUUUUUUUGCUUUCCAUUUACUUGGUAAAUAUUCCUCCAAUCCUUUAUUUUGAGUCUAUGUGUGUCUUUGCACGUGAGAUCGGUCUCCUGAAUACAGCACACCGUUGCUUCUUGACUCUAUCUAAUUUGCCAGUCUGUUUCUUUUAAUUGGGGCAUUUAGUCCAUUUACAUGUAAGGUUAAUAUUGUUAUGUGUGAAUUUGAUUCUGUCAUUAUGAUGCUAGCUGGUUAUUUUGCCUGUUGAUGCAGUUUCUUCAUAGUGUUGAUGGUCUUUACAAUUUGGUAUGUUUUUGCAGUGGCUGGUACUGGUUUUUCCUUUCCAUGUUUAGUGCUUCCUUUAGGAGCUCUUGUAAGGCAAGCCUGGUGGUGACAAAAUCUCUCAGCAUUUGCUUGUCUGUAAAGGAUUUUAUUUCUUCUUCACUUUUGAAGCUUAGUUUGGCUGGAUAUGAAAUUCUGGGUUGAAAAUUCUUUUCUUUAAGAAAGUUGAAUAUUGGCCCCCACUCUCUUCUGUCUUGUAGGGUUUCUGCAGAGAGAUCCACUGUUAGUCUGAUGGGCUUUCCUUUGUGGGUAACCUAACCUUUCUCUCUGGUUGCCCUUAACAUUUUUUUCUUCAUUUCAACAUUGGUGAAUGUGACGAUUAUGUGUCUUAGGGUUGCUCUUCUCAAGGAGUAUCUUUGUGGUGUUCUCUGAAUUUCCUGAAUUUGAAUGUUGGCCUGACUUGCUAGGUUGUGGAAGUUCUCUUGGAUAAUAUCCUGAAGAGUGUUUUCCAACUUUUGGUUCCAUUCUCCCCAUCACUUUUAGGUACACCAGUCAAAUGUAGGUUUGUUCUUUUCGCAUAGUCUCAUAUUUCUUGGAGGCUUUGUUUCCUUUCCUUCUUUUUUCUCUAAUCUUGUCUUCAUGCUUUAUUUCAGUAAGUUGAUCUUCAAUCUCUGAUAUCCUUUCUUUGGUUUGAUCUAUUUGGCUAUUGAUACUUGCAUAUGCUUCACAAAGUUCCCAUGCUGUGUUUUUCAGCUCCAUCAGGUCAUUUAUGUUCUUCUUUAAACUGGUUAUUCCAGUUAGCAAUUCAUCUAACCUUUUUUCAACGUUCUUGGCUUCCUUGCAUUGGGUUAGAACAUGCUCCUUUAGCUCAGAGGAGUUUGUUAUUACCCACCUUCUAAAGCCUACUUCUAUCAAUUCGUCAAACUCAUUCUCCAUCCAGUUUUGUUCCCUUGCUGUUGAGGAGUUCUGUUCCUUUGGAGGAGAAGAGGCAUUCUGGUUUUUGGAAUUUUCAGCCUUUGUGCAUUGAUUUUUUUCUCAUCUUCAUGGAUUUAUCUACCUUGGGUCUUUGAUGUUGGUAAGCUUCGAAUGGAGUUUUUGUGUGGACAUCCUUUUGGUUGAUGUCAUUGCUGUUCCUUUCUGUUUGUUAGUUUUGCUUCUAACAGUCAGGCCCCUCUUCUGCAGGUCUGCUGGAGUUUGCUGGAGGCCCACUCCAGACCCUGUUUACCUAUAUCACCAGCGGAGGCUGCAGAACAGCAAAAAUUGCUGCCUGCUCCUUCCUCUGGAAGCUUUGUCCCUGAGGGUCACCCGCCAGAUGCCAGCGAGAGGUCUCCUCUAUGAGGUGUCUGUCAACCCUUGCUGGGUGGUGUCUCCCAGUCAGGCUACAAUGGGGGUUAGGGACCCACUUGAGGAGGCAGUCUGACCCUUAACAGAGCUUGAACGCUGUCCUGGGAGAUCUGCUGCUCUCUUCAGACCCAGCAGGCAGGGAUGUUUAAGUCUGCUGAAGCUGUGCCCACCGCUGCUUCCCCUGGGUGCUCUGUCCCAGGGAGAUGGGGGUUUUUAUCUAUAAGUCCCUGACUGGGGCUGCUGCCUUUUUUUUCAGAGAUGUCCUGCUCAGAGAGGAGCAAUCUAGAGAGGCAGUCUGGCUUCAAUGGCUUUGCUGAGCUGCGGAGGGAUCCACCAAGUUGGAACUUCCCCUUGGCUUUGUUUACACUGUGAGGGGAAAACAGUCUACUCAAGCUUCAGUAAUGGCAGACACCCCUCCCCCCACCAAGCCCGAGUGCCCCAGGUUGACUUCAGACUGCUGUGGUGGCAGUGAGAAUUUCAAGCCAGUGAAUCUUAGCUUGCUGGGCUCUGUGGGGUUGGGGUCCGCUGAGCUAGACCACUUGGAUCCCUGGCUUCAGCCCCCUUUCCAGGGGAAUGAACUGUUCUGUCUCGCUGGCAUUCCAGGUGCCACUGGGGUAUGAAAAAUACUCUUGCAGCUAGCUUGGUGUCUGCCCAAACAGCUGCCCAGUUUUGUGCUUGAUACCCAGGGCCCUGGUGGCAUAGUCACCCAAGGGAACUUCCUGGUCUGUGGGUUGCGAAGACUGUGGGAAAAGUGUAGUCUGGGCCGAAGUGCACUGUUCUUCAAGGCACAGUCCCACAUGGCUUCCCUUGGCUAGGGGAGGGAAUUCCUUGACCCCUUGCACUUCCUGGGUGAGGCAAUGGCCCACCCUCCUUCGGCUCGCCCUCCAUGCGCUGCACCCACUGUCUAACCAGUCCCAAUGAGAUAAGCUGGGUACCUCAGUUGGAAAUGCAAAAAUCACCCACCUUUUGCAUUGAUCUUGCUGGGAGCUGCAGACUGGAGCUGUUCCUUUUGGCCAUCUGGUCAGCCACCUUUUUUUUUUUUUUUUUUUUUUUGAGAUAGAGUCUUGCUCUGUCACCCAGGCUGGAGUGCAGUGGCACAAUCUCGGAUCACUGCAGCCUCCACCUCCUGGGUUCAAGUGAUUCUCCUGCCUCAGCCUCCUGAGUAGCUGGGAUUACAGGCAUGUGCCACCACACCUGGGUAAUUUUUGUAUUUUUAUUAGAGACAGGGUUUCUCCAUGUUAGCCAGGCUGGUCUUGAACUCCUGACCUCAGGUGAUCCACCUGCCUCAGUCUCCCAAAGUGCUGGGAUUACAGGCAUGAGCCACCACGCCCAGCUGAGCUGUUUGUAUUUAAUAUUGGCAUACGUCUUCGAUAUGAACAAGUUCAUUGUAUAUUAUUUAGGGAAAUAAAGCUGUUCCAGUGAGGGGACUACAGUCAGUGCAAAAAUUUUGAAAAAAAAAUAUGGAAACCACUGUACUUGGCCCCUCCCCCAUUCCUUUCCAACCAAACUGAAACCUCCUCAAAAGGAAGAAUCAAGUCCUACUCUUUUGAGGUACCUGGCACAGUGGUCAGUAGGAUAGGCAGUUAUGGCUUAGUUGAUUUUGAAUUUGCCAUUCUCUCUGCAUGCCUCAAGUUCCUACCCUACUCCCAGGUGAAUUAUCUGAAUAAUUUUUUUCUAACCUUCUCACCUUGCUUAUUAAAAGAACAAAAACAAUCAAUAGCAGAACUGCCAGGAAAGAAAUCCAUGAUAUUAUUUUCUUUGAACAAGAGGGCAGUUGUGAUUGGUGUAGCAAUUUGGGUAGUUUGAUACAGAGGGGUGGAAUUAUGCGGUGGAAACUGUGAAGGUGAGUGCCUCCUGGUAAUGGCUCUUUUCUUGCCUUUUAUACACACAUGGGCCCCAGGAUGAUUAAGGGUGAUGGUAAACUCCGCCUCUACUCAUGUGUCUCUGUCUGUUUCUAGCCAGUGAGUAGAAUUGCAAAAUUUAUUCUCUUUUUCUUUUACCCACAUCUUUUUAGGAUGUUUGCUGGGAAUAAGGGAGUAGAAAAAUAAGGCAAAACCCUGUGCCCACAAAAUAGAGCAAAGCAAACUGUCCCCCAAAGCAAGCGAGUUUCCCAUGGAGUGGCCAGUAGAAGAGCCUCCCAUAUCCUAAGGUUCUGGGGUACAUCUGAUUAUUUUCCUGCUUUUCCAGUGAGACACUGUACAUCACUGCUGUUCACCUGAGAACUAUUCUCAUGAUUCAGCAGAGGAUCAAAACAAGGAAAAGGAAAUAUAUUAGUCUGAAAAUUCUACAAUAGGUAAUUGCACAAGAAUGAGUGGCUUACAUAUCUAUGCAGCACUAGGCUAGGCACAAUUCAAGACACAAGGAAGUCUUAAGAUACGUAUCUAACCCCCAAGAAGUUUAUAGUCCAGUUUUUAGUUUCCAGCCAAGCCUUCCAUGAAGUAUUCCCAAGUGUAGAUAUUGCCUUUGUCUAUUAAUAUAUAUAAGAUGACACAUAAUAUUGUCAAUCUACUUUGAGAAAAAAAAAGUUGUCAAAAGCCCAGAAAUCACUUUGUGUCUGUUUUCUCCUCUCUUGGCAGUCUGAAAUACCAGUGUUGAGUGAUCUACUUACCCACUGCUCCGUCAUACCACUCUAAAACAAUCAAUGGCUCCCUAUUAUGUUACUCAUUAGGUCUCCCUUUUGAAUCAAUUUUUAUUUCCCUUUAGAAACCAUUUUUGAAUCAUGGAUGACAGGUAAAUUGGCAGGGGUGGGGGUUGGUGAGAGACUUAGGUUCCUCUAGUUGUCUCUGGUGUUGACUUUGUUCUAAAUCCAUGCUUCGUAUGCUUUUAAAAAUAGUUUACUUGGCAACAUUUGCAUGUGUGUGCAAGCACACAAGUGCACCCAUGCAUGCAUGUAAAUGAAGCAAUUUCAGAAAAUGAAACUUAUGUGCAGCACACAGUGAUAUUCUCUAUUCUAUUUUAAUUCACGGUUAGUGCUCAUGGCAACCAUCUUUUGACUUUAUUAUCUACUCUGGGUCACAAGCUUAGUGUUUGAAAAAUUUUAUCUAAAGUUUACACUGAGUUUACAUUUAUAAAUUCAUUUGCUCUAAUACUGUGAAGAAUGUAGAGAAGAUUCCAAUAUUAUAAUUCCCCUAUUUAAAAUGAAAGAAAGUAGAGAUGAAUUAACAUGCCUAAGGUCACCCAGCUAAUUUGGGGUCAAAUUUCCAACAUUUCCACUGUGCCAGGUACCUUUCUCCCCCACUCCCAGCCCAGACUCACCAGCACAUUGUUGGAACAAAGAGUGGGUGUAUGAUAUAGUUUGGAUAUUUGUAUUCUCCAAGUCUCAUGUUGAAAUUGAUCCCCCAAUAUUCAAGGUGGGGCCUAUUGGGAAGUGUUUGGGUCACGAUCCUUCAUGAUCCACUUGGUGCUGUCCUUGCAGUAAUGUAUAAGUUUUCACUCUAUUCAUGAAGGAGCUGGUUGUUUAACAGCAUGGCACCUCCUCCCUGCCUACUUGCCACCUCCUCCCACUAUGUGAUACGCCAGCUCCCCUUGUUUCUGCCAUGAGUUAAAGCUUCCUGAGGCCUCACCAGAAGCCAGGCAGCUGUAGAGCCGUGCAUGCUUCCUGUACAGCCUGAAGAACUCUGAGCCAAAUAAACCUCCUUUCUUUAUAAAUUACCCAGCAUCAGGUAUUCCUUUAUAACGAUACAAAUGGACUAACAGUAUAUUAGUUAGGAUUGUUUCAGGGGCAAAUAAUAGCAGGUUCAACUAAAAUGGCUUAAAUAAUAACUAGUUAUUAUCUUAAUAAGUUUCAAAGUAGGGCUGAUUAGUUCAGCAGCUCAAACACAUCUUCAAAGACUCAUGUGCUAUCUAACUUCUGCUUUGCCAUUUUCAGUAUGUUGUCUGUGUAUUCAGAUAGUUCCUUUCGUGGCCUCAAGAUAAUAGCCUAACCAUGACAUCUUUGAAAAUAAUUUCCAAAGCCCCGAAGAAAAAAUGUUCUGUUCUCUCUUUUCUUUGUAAGAGUUGGGGAUAUUUUCCCAGAAGUCAACCUGUGUCUCACUGUCUACUAUUGCAGCACGGCAAGCCUGUCCUAACCUAAUCACUGGCAAGGGUAGAGGAAUUACCAUAAAAGGCUCAGAAUUAGCCUACAGAACUGAGGAGAGGCUGGAUCUCCCUGGAAGACUUGACUUCACACGACCUGAACAAAAUCCCACUUAUGUAUGCCAGGAAUAAAGUGGGGGUGGAGGGUUGGUAAUAAUUAAGUAGGCAACCAAGUGUGUCUUUAAUAACGAGUAUGGAUGAAAAUUCCCAGACAGUGAAGUGUCUGUCUCUUACCCUUCCCGUACCCUUUGUUUCUAGGGAGAAUGCCUGAUUCCUUCAACUUGUAUUCCUGUUCCAUAUUCUUUUCAGCUGCCUUUGGCCCCUUAACUGUCUCGACUCCUGCUUACUUAAUGUCUAAUCUAUUCUAGGCCAAUUCAUGCCCUUCCCACCCAUUCUUCACCAUCAACCUCAUUCAUUCAGGCAAUUACUUACCCACUUGUCUUUCUCUUUUCCUGUUAAAUGAAUACUUGCUAUAUGGCAGACACUGAACUAAGCCCUGGAAAAACAAUGAUGCAUAAGGCACAGUCCCUACCUCUAAUAGCCAAAGGUUGAUUUUAAAUACUUAGUGCACUCCAAUAUAUAUACAGAAAUUUGACAUCUGCUUUUCUGAAUGUACAGGGUGCUCAGCAUCCCUGGAAACAGUCUGAGGGAGGGAUCAGAGUGACAGACUUUAUUUGGGAAGUACAUGCCUUUGGGUAGUAGGGGUGAGGAAAAAAAGGUCAAGGCAAAAUGAAGCAAGUAAGAACAAAGAAAUAAAGGAAAGUAGGGAAAACAUUUCUCUGCUGGCUACUGACUCACAAGGAGCAGCCAAGAGACACUGCAGGUCACUUGGUAGGGCGCUCUUGCUGACAUGGAACUGCAGGAUCAUCCUGAUGGGCUUCAAGGGGGAGGCUAUGCCUCAGAAUAGUCUUGGGAGAGAAGAAAUUAAUUUACUGGCUCCUUCCCAUUUCUAGUUUCCCAGUAAUCAAAGUUAACCCCAUGGAGAGUUACCACCACUGAAUUUCGGGGUUGUGUUAUUUGGCCCUUUGGUGGCCCCUUGUGAUGGUAGAUCCCAAGCCAUCUUGGGGUGGGAUGUGUGGUUUCACCCAGUUAUGAAAGCAGAGGGCCACUCAGCUGUGUGAUUAGCAGAGUGAACCUGAAUGCGGCACUUGAAGACUGAAAAGGUGUUUGAUUUCUGUUCAUUACAUUAAUGGUCUUGCAGGGAUAAUGUGGACGUAAUUUCCUUCUGGUUCUUCUCUCUUUUUGCAACAUUUAAAUCUUUAACCCAUGCCUGCUUGUGAUGCCAUGAUGCCUGAUGGCGACUCCUAAUCCCAGGUUUCCUCUGCUGAAGGGAGCUAAUAGCUGGCUUCACUAUUCCUUUCUUGCUUGAUAGACAUUGGCCAAACAUGGGAUCCUACUGUUCCUCAGACUGCCUGUGGCCCUCACUAGGUCAUCUGUUGUAACUCCUGUAGCAACAAGUAUCCCUUUGAUUAAAUGAAAUACAUUAGAAAGGUGGUUGAGAUUAUUAACUUGCUUCUUAAAAAAAACAGAAAUAGAAAAACACCUCCAUGAUGUCUUGAACAGUGUUUCUCAAACUUUAUGGAGCAUACUUAUCACCUGGAGUCCUUGUUAAAACACAGGUUCUAGGGUCCACCCCUAGAGAGUCUUUUCCUGGAGCCUUGGUCUGGGGCUAGAUUAUAAUCUAACAAGAUCCUAGUUGACGUUAAUGUCAGCUCAAGGACCACAUUUUGAGAAGAGUUGGUGUUAGAGGGGAAAGAAUAGUCAAAUGUUAAUAUCCGGACUUAAUUCCUUACUAGCAGGCAAAAAGGAAUACAUUGAUGUUUAAAAAUUGCACUAUCUAGGCCAGGCGUGGUGGCUCACGCCUGUAAUCCUAGCACUUUGGUAGGCCAAGGUGGGCGGAUCACCUGAGGUCAGGAUUCGAGACCAGCCUGGCCAACAUAGCGAAACCCCAUCUCUACUAAAAAAUUACAAAAAUUAGCUGGACGUGGUGAUGCAUGCCUGUAAUCCCAGCUACUCAGGAGGCUGAGGCAGGAGAAUCACUUGAACUCAGGAGGCAGAGAUUGCAGUGAGCCAACAUUGCGCCACUGUAUUUCAGCCUAGGUGACAGAGUGAGACUGUCUAAAAAAAUAAAAAUUAAAAAUCUCACAAUCUAGUGAGAGAAAGAAUUUUUUUAAAAAAUACAACAUAUUAGGGGAAAUAUUUAUUAUAGGGUUGUGUAUAAAAUACUAAUGGGAAAGGCUUUCCAGACAAAGGUGUAUUUAAACUGGAUCAAGAGGGAUGAGCUGUUUUCCAGGCAGAGAGAUGUAAAGGCAAGGUGUAAAGGCAGCAUUUAGCUGAGGCACAGGGAUAUCUAUGUGGGGUUGAUGGGAGGAGUUGGGGAUGAUUUAGUUUGAUUAGAUCCUUAAGGGCCUUAUGUGUUACGUUAAGCACCAGGAACCUGGUCCUGUGGGGAACAGAAGAUAUCAUCACUGUCCUUGGAUGCUGUAGUACAAAGGGUCCAACUUCCUUCACUUUCUCCCAGUUUUCCUCAAUUGUUUUCUCUCACCUUUGCUUGUUUUCAACUUUUCCAGUCCAUUUAUUAGAUAUUUUAAUCGCUGAUCUCAGCAAUUAUUUUUAGAAUAUAAGUUUUCAAAGAUAUUCUAUGACUACUACAUAAUUCCAUGUCUGCGAAAUCAUGUGGUGUUUCUAGUGAACAUAAACACAUUUACAGUUAAGGAAAACUUAAAAUAUGUAUCCAAAGAUAAGUUCAAUAGGUUUAAAAACCCAAAAUCUGGCUGGGCGCAGUGGCUCAUGCCUGUAAUCCCAGCACUUUGUGAGGCUGAGGUGGGUGGAUCACCCGAGUUCAGGAGUUUGAAACCAGCCUGGCCAACAUGGUGAAACCCUGUCCCUACUAAAAAUACAAAAAUUAGCUGGGCGUGAUGACAUACGCCUGUAGUCCCAGCUACUCGGGAGGCUAAGGCAGGAGAAUCGCUUGAACCUGGGAGGUGGAGGUUGCAGUGAGCUGAGAUCCUGCCACUGCACUCCAGCCUGGGUGACAGAGCAAGAUUCCGUCUCCAAUAAAUAAAUAGAUACAUAUAUACAUACACACCCAAUAUCUUGUUCUUAUUCUUUUUAAACUAAAAAAAAAUAUACACAUAACUGUAGGAAGCUUUCCUUUUCCUUUCUGAUAGACACCUUUGAAAUAUUAACUUGGUCAGAUUCAACCCUUCCUAUGUUUUUAAGAGUGCUAGCCAAUAUGUAUUUUGCUUG
rnacentral:lncRNA from 1 species